rnacentral:rRNA from 1 species
GCGGGAAUUCGAUUGAGUUUGAUCCUGGCUCAGAUUGAACGCUGGCGGCAUGCCUUACACAUGCAAGUCGAACGGCAGCACGGGAGCAAUCCUGGUGGCGAGUGGCGAACGGGUGAGUAAUACAUCGGAACGUGCCCAGUAGUGGGGGAUAACCCGGCGAAAGCCGGACUAAUACCGCAUACGACCUACGGGUGAAAGCAGGGGAUCGCAAGACCUUGCGCUAUCGGAGCGGCCGAUGUCAGAUUAGCUUGUUGGUGGGGUAAAAGCCUACCAAGGCGACGAUCUGUAGCUGGUCUGAGAGGACGACCAGCCACACUGGGACUGAGACACGGCCCAGACUCCUACGGGAGGCAGCAGUGGGGAAUUUUGGACAAUGGGCGCAAGCCUGAUCCAGCCAUGCCGCGUGCGGGAAGAAGGCCUUCGGGUUGUAAACCGCUUUUGUCAGGGAAGAAACGCUCCGGGCUAAUACCUUGGAGUAAUGACGGUACCUGAAGAAUAAGCACCGGCUAACUACGUGCCAGCAGCCGCGGUAAUACGUAGGGUGCAAGCGUUAAUCGGAAUUACUGGGCGUAAAGCGUGCGCAGGCGGCUUUGCAAGGCAGAUGUGAAAUCCCCGGGCUUAACCUGGGAACUGCAUUUGUGACUGCAUGGCUGGAGUGCGGCAGAGGGGGAUGGAAUUCCGCGUGUAGCAGUGAAAUGCGUAGAUAUGCGGAGGAACACCGAUGGCGAANGCAAUCCCCUGGGCCUGCACUGACGCUCAUGCACGAAAGCGUGGGGAGCAAACAGGAUUAGAUACCC